AUUUUAACCCAGAAAUAAUACACACUCUUCCCUCCUUCCCGUAUUUUUUUUUUUAUGGUGAAUAUUCAACUUCUGUAAGGUUUUUUCUUUUCUCCGCGCCUCCCGGCAUGUCAACGAAUGUCCCCUGGCAGCGGCCCGGGGGGGAAUGUGCCUGCUUUCGCCCUAAGCGACCAGGCGAACGCAUCCGUCCAUCAAAUCUUAUAGUUUGUGCUCGUCAAAAUCCGAGCUAUCCGAGAUAAAAAAAAAUGUGGCUCCUCCUUGAGUUGCCCCAACUAUCAGGUGAAGCCAAAGCAAGCUGUGGGAUGUGUCCAUCCCAACAGCUGGCGGUAGGCAUUUUUCCUCUGUUUCUUUCUUAUUACCCCCCCGCUCCUCAACCCUCUUAUCUCAGCUGUGUACAAACUGAUAUGGUACUUAGCAGGAAAGUGACUGGAAAUUAAAAUAACUUCGUUCACCAGAGGUUAUCAGCUGGAUAUCUGUCAUCAUCAGUUUGUACAGAAAGUCAUCUGCGGCAAAGGGCUGGACUAGAGCAGAGCCGGGCUCUCGGCAGCCGGCAGGCAUGAGCCCUCCCGACAGAAACCGAGCCCAAACCUGCUGAUGCGCGGUGCUGUCGCUCCUGGGUUUGGUAACAGGCUCACAUCUGGAGUGGUAGGAAAGGUCUGUCACGCCUGGACCAGAAGCCUUCAGCAUCUCAUCCUUUCUCAGCCACCAGAAACCACAGCAAAACCUCUAGUUUUCUCCUUGGUCAGCAGGGCACAGAGAAAGCAACAACCCCUAAGCUGGUUGAAACUGCUGCCUGUGCUCUGGGUUGAAGGUUUUAAACUGUUUUACUUUAAAGGUAGGGGCUUGCAUGAAUAUGCUCCAAGAUAUUUCACUCAUGGAAUUGGAGAGGGGUGUAAUUCAGCCUGAACCCAGGAUUUAUGCUGCACUCUUAUUUUAGUUCCUACUGCCUAGGAGAAUAGUUACUACUCAAAUCACAAGCUGUGUCUGUGACCUGUGCUAAGUUUGCAAAUUCAUUUGGUUUUGGUUUUGAUAGCUUCCACAGAAUUGUUGAUUAACAUUUCCUUCAGCAGGAAUUUUCCAAACAAGUUCACUUCAUUUCUCCUUGCGAGAAGUGGAAAGAAUGCAUUUUCCUUGUGCCUGCUUGGAACUAUGUGUACCUCUAAGGUCCAGAAGGUGACAUAUCUUUCACAAGUGAUUCCCCUACUAAGUGUAGAGAGGAGAAACUAAUUGUGUGCUGCAGCUACCAGAAUAUUAAAAAUACUCUGUACUGAAAUAAGUUAACUGUUGCUCAGCAUUUGGACUUGUGGAGCACAGAGCUGACUAUCCUGAGCCUAGGCAGAGAAUUGGAAAACAAACUUCUCAGCUGGAAAAGGAGCUGAACUUAAUGGUGUUGGACCAAAUGAACAGGAACAAACCUGGAAGACCUUGGCUGAAUGCUAAAUGUGAGUAUGGACUCAAACCAGCACUUUUUCCAUGUGUCAAAAAUACAGUGCUUAAUGGAUUAAAUAACUUUAUCAGUCCUCCAUUUGGAAGGCUAAAACCUGCUGUGCAAAGCUCAAGAGGUAAAUAAAAUCUGGUGAUGAAGGACUAAACUCUGAUGGGAAUUCUCCUGGAGAAAGGCCUGCUCAAGUUGACCUGUUUAAUUAAAAUGCAAUAAAAUGCAAUUUCCUUUACAUCGUUACAUGCUAAUGUCAAGCUUAGAAUCACAAAUUUGUUGAAACCUGAGCUAUAGAACUCAUCUGUGGUUACCUCUUGGUAAUAAAAAAAUGUAAAGAGAUGCUUUUACGGAAACAUGCUCAUAUUUUAAAAUAAAUUUGGUGGUCUAAAUGAAGAGUACUGAUAUUACUAAAAAGGGCAAUGACUUCAUUAAUUUUGUUGAUGUCAGCUAUUUAUUACUGGGCCAUCAAACUAUAAACUGGGGUACUUUAUUGACUGCAAUAUACACUGGAUAUGUGCCAUAUUAUUCAAGAGAAACAAUACACUGCAGAAACAAUACAGAGAAGAGGUAAUUUGUACAGAGUUCAUGAAACAAUUAUAUAAUCUAAUUACAAAACUGACUCACUAUGUCCUUGGUUCUAUUUAUUAGAAGAGAAUUGAAGGACAUACUAAACAUACUCAGAGUCUAGGAAUUUAAAUUUAAAUCCUGCCUGCACACCCAAGCAUUCAGGAACUGGUGUGAUCCAGAGCAUAGAUCGUAAUUCCCAAAAGAAGGAUGGGAUGCCUUGAUGUGGGACUCAGGAUACGACUUCAUUGUCCUGUGUGAUGGAAGUUAAACUACUGCCCCAUUUUCCUGAGAAGUGCUUUGAAACUCAGUCAAUAUCACAGAAAAACUUUUAAUAAUGUUAAUGACUCACAAAAAGAAGUGUAAUUAGUUAUUUAUUUCAAAAGGUGACAGCAGUUUGAGAUCUGCUCGUGUUUCACAUGUUUCAUUGGUACAAAGCUUCUGGAAAAAUGCAUCAGGAACAUUUGAAUGCAAGUGAAGGUGUUUCAUGUUCAAACAGAAAAAAAACACUGAGAUGCCUGAACACAAGACAUUGCCAAGGCUUUGCUCAUGUCACUCACUCACAGAGAAGAUCAUCGAAGCACAGAAAUGACCAAAGCCAAAACAAAAGUAAGUUGCUGAAUUAUUCUGUGAAUUUUCAUGUUGUAGCUGCACUGCAACUGUUUGAACUCUUUUCAGAUGUUUUUCCUUAAACUUUUAAUGCUUUUUAAGGAACAUAUAAAUAUUUCCUUUCUUCAUCAUGUAAGAAACUUUAUUAAAUAAAAUCUGGUUUUGCAUCUCUUCUGUUGUUUUUUUAAUUCUCAAUUUACUGUGCAUUUUGUAUUUGAAUAGAUUUUAAUGGGUGACAUCUAACCAUACUAUAGUAAAUUGUGGAGGAGGCUAGUAUUCAGAAUGAUUAAAAGGAGUAUUUGUUUAUAAAACAGGAAAAAACCUCAGUGUCUCUUUAUUUGUUUUUAUUAAUGACAAUCCUGGCUUGCAUGCAAUAAUUUUUUAAUGAAUGCUGUGAGAGAGACAGAAUAGCUAAUGGAGAGCCUGGGACACCUGCGUGCAGUUUUGUCUCAGGUAGGGAAGUCAUUAUUCUGCAUAUUGGAAGGUACAAUUCUGCAGCACGCUGCCCUGGUGCAAUCCUGGCUCCAGAAAUCUUUUCCCCCUGCCAGGAGGGACUCUUCUGCCUGGAGGAGUCACUCCAGUGCCAGCACAGCAAUCCACUGCCUUCUCCCAGCUGUAUUAAUGAAAUUCCUUGUGGGACCAGACUGGAAGAAAGACCAUUGAAGUGAUUACAAUUAAAAAUAGCUCUUCCUCUGCUCCUCCCACAAAGAGUUUAUUUUUAACUUCCAUCACUUCAGUGUGCUGAUUUAAGCACUGCUCUACGCAUAGUUGUUUUGGCACAGCUGAGGAGGUGACAAACUGCAGGCCAGAGGUGGGAACAAGCAUCUGGGGCAGGAGCUGGCUGCAGCAGCUUAGCUGGCAAAGGCAGUGUAUCAUAGGACUAUGGUGUGAUAGUUCACUGAAUGAACUUAAACUUUGCCUUUCCUGAGUGUUUUCAUGGUCAUGAAGGAUCUCUGCUCCAAACUCCCAGUAUAGGAGAGCCUGUCCCAUGUCUCUUUCCUCCCCCUGCCUGGCUCCUUUACAUCAGCUCAUGCCACCACCAUGAGCCGUAUCACCGAGAAAUAGAGUGUUUGUGAAGCCUCAGCUGAAUCCCCAGGCUGACACCCUUAAGGACAUGUAGAUAGCCAACUUUAAGGCAGUGGAAGGCUUAAAUGGACAGGGUCAGGAGCAGGCAUAUGGUCAGUGACAAUACCUUGGGCAUAGGACAGCAGCCACCUACCCACCCACCCACCCUCCCAGGUCUCUUCUCACUGCAGAGACCUUUUGUGUUUGGCUUUCAUGCAAACCAUCAAGCUGUGUGUGGGACUCAGGACCGAGUGAGGACUUCUGGCAGGUCAUUUGGGCCACAAUUUAGGAUUCUUCCAUCUUUUCUUAAAGCACAGGGCGUGAGUCACUUGCUGAAACCUUCUUUAUUAUCUCUCCAACUUCCUGACAUUUUACAGACCUCAGGCUAUGUUGGCCCUUUGACUUCUUCUGUCCCCUGCCUUCAGUUUUGGUCUUUUGAGGACUUGAAAGCCAUGACCUAAUUUGAAUUUUUGUUAACAGCUAUAUAAGUGAGCACUUGGGUGAACUUGCAUAGCCUUUAAGCAGCCAGGAAGUCAGAUAAUAUCUAAUCUUAUCCUUGUUAGGGUAAAGAGUGUCCCUAGCAUGCUAUUGACCAAUGCUUUCUAGAGCAGACAUCAGUGCAUCAUAUAACCUAUCCUGCAGUUCCCUAUGCUAAAAACAAUUAUCUGACUGGCUCACGUGUGAAAGCACCGCAGCAUGACAUCAUCUGGAGCACACUAACCUCGGUGGAAGAAAUACCAAUUCAACUGAGUCAGGAUUCUCCUUCAAUGCCUCAAGUAACUCACUUCACACAUCACAAUCUGAGUUUCGAGCCUCCCCCAUGUUCAUCAGAUAUUACUUUUUCUUCCAGUUUUGAAACAGACUAGGAACCUAGAUGAUUUUUUCUAAUCAUAACUGGCACUUCUGGCAAAUUUAAUAUUUCAGUGUCAAGCCCUUCAAUAAGAAGACCUUGUUGGCCUUCAGAAGCAUAAUGCUUCUCUUCUGCUCUGUGCACACUGUUUCCAUCCUCCCUGAGGUUAAGUCCCUGAGACCUUCUUGUAAUCCAAAUAAAUUUAAAACAAAAUAAAAUGACAUCACAAUGGCUCUAAAGUGGAGCUUCCACAGCACUCCACCAUAUAUUGAUUGCAUAAACAAAAUGCCACCUGAGAAGAAGAAAAUAAUCCAGCUCACAAAAGUAUGAUUUUGUGAUGGAAUGGGACAGCCCAAGCUUGGCUGGACCAUGUUGGACCACAAGGAUCUCCAAUCCUUCAAAAGCUUGUUAGAGCCUCUGUCCUUAAUUGUCUGCAGAAUUAGUCUUGAAACCAUGGUUUCAAGGUUUCAGUAGCUUUGCCUUCACUGGAGUAUUUUUCUGUUUGUCUGUGAGCCUCAGUCAUGACUCUUCUGUUCUCACUUUGCAGAGGUGAAGAAUCAAACAACCUGUACAGGGUAUAUAGAAUCCACAGACUCACUGUGGAGAGCACAAUACAUGGUAUGGAGAAGAUUUUUUAAAAAUCAUACUUUCCUAGCAGUCUUUACAUAUCCAUCUAGGUGGAAGUUAUUUCCGAGAAUACUCAUGCUACUCAUAAAGAGCCAUUAUCAAAGUCAGCCAAAAUUCCAAGGAAAAAAAAAAAGAAAAUAGAAGGGCAGGCAGGUAACUAAUCCAUUUUGAAGCUGUCAGGUUGUGACCUGAGGUAUGUUUUCACAGGAAAGACAAAAAUGAGGUUCUUUCCCUAAUGAGGAACAACACAAUUAUGUAAAGGAAGGAUAAAUGACCAACAUUUAGUUGCUGCCUGCACAGUAAACAUCCCAGAGAAGAAGACUGAUCAGAUGUAGUCACAGUGGAUGGCUACAAACUGCCAGACAGGCAGUGUUGACUGAGAGCUCCCACUACUGAGCUCCCUUUCUCGGUUGCAGCUUAUGCAAAAGACUAUAAAGGAGGAAAAGCCAUGAAAUAAUGAAGAUGAAUGCAAUAAAUAGACCUGAGCCUGUCUAGUUGUUUUAGUGGUUAAUGCCACUAGAGAAACCCUGCAGGGCUUUAAGCAAUUCUUAGUGAUGAAGAUUUAUGAAGCCCUUUUAAAAACUUCAUUAAGGGGUCAGAGAGAUUUAAGUGGCCUCACAAGCUCUGCACUAAGCCAAGAGAUUCACUUUGCAGAAAGUCAGCCAAAGGCAGUGAGGACAGAGCUGGUUUGCAAGGGCUCUUCACACAUUCUGGGAACAAUGCUGAGCACCCUGUGCAGGACAGCUUAAUGCUGAAGUCCCUAGCAGGGUUGUGGCACCUCAGAUGGUUAAAGGAAGCUGCUUAGCAAAAGUAUUUCCUCUGAAUAAUGUUCAGUCCAGUAUAGUCUGGUAAGCAAGCCAAGUCUGUAUACACUGCUCACAUAACUUUCUUAUUCCAGUUUCCCCCCUCAGAUUGUCUGAAAUAUCGUAAAGAUUUUUUAUUUUUUUUUUUAGUUGGGAUGGAUUUUCUUUCUUCAGACAACAAGUGCUGCGUGAAACUCGUCAAAUCAUAGCCCAGAAUCUUACCUUCCACACUGAUGCCUCCAAGCAGUUGUUUAGGACUGCUUAUUAUUUAGAUAUAAAUAGCAGUGCUCAUUAAUUUAGCAAUCACUCCCAGCUAUGAAAAUGCAAAUUGAGUUGGCUUAUUUGUGUUUUUGAGAAAGAGAGAAGGUGGUGGCGGUAGGUGGGAAGGGGAAUAUUCCCCAGGUGCUGCUGUUUAUCACCUUUUUGUCUCACUCUGAGCCAGGGAAUGUUUCAUCUGCACCCUGCAGAGCUUUGCUGGGCUCUGUUCCAUCACCACUGAGGUGGGUGUGCAUCACACACCCCUUGUAAAGUUGGUUCUUGGACCGACAGCUUGGGUCAACCCCAUGAAAAAAAUAAAUCCUGGACUUCUUUUUAAUAGGUAUGCAGUAGAAUAAGCUCUGGUAGCUGGCAAAGGCAGCAAACUUUGACAGAGCAAGAGAUGAAGCCUGCUUUUGUGGCUUCACAAGUAAAACUACCACUCCCUUUGGCUUGCUGGAGCUGCCUGGCCGUGGGGAAGCAGCCAUGAUGGAGCAGGCUUUCAUGAUCUGUCAUAAAAUUCAGUACAAACCAAAGCAGCACAUCUCCUCCAAAAGUUGUGUUUCAGCUUGACUGCCCACCUAAACACCCUUUGCUAGACACUUAUAACCUGAUAUUCUGUGCUUCUUACGGAUCGUGGGAGGUGCUACACAGCCUCAGUGCCUGGUGAGAAGGAGAGGAGCCAGAAGGAAAGAAGGUAAAAAGAGAAAGAGAGUAGAGCAUGAAAGAGAAAGAGAGGAGAAAGGGAGACCUGAAACAUCUGCAGUAGGAAGAGAAAUGCUGCACUGCACCCUCAAAGACUUCCCUCACCUCAUAUCCCAUCCCUGAGAGCUGCCAGCAGCAGGCGCCUAGAGAAACCUCCUCCAAAAAGGCUGGUUAUUGUCCCCAGCAUGUUAAAAACCUUGGAAUCUAAAUGCCUCCAGCAUUAAUUGAAACGAGCUCCUGAAUUUUUGCAGUACUUUGUUGGACAGAGAAUCUAAAUAAUGGAAUCAGCUUAACAACUAAUUUUCAGGAUUUUAAGGGAGCUUGUUCAUGCCAGCCCUCAUUCAGGAACACACUUUUUACAUUCACAGAGCUUAAAGCACCUGCUUUACAGCAAAUGAGAGGGAUGGGUGGAACCCCACCCUUGUGAACAGAGCUCCUCAGUUAGAUUUUUUGGCAGAAUGGCUCAGGUCUGGGGUAGCCUCUGGGAAGGCUUGUAUUUAUGAAGGAUUCCACAGGCAACUCUCCGCUUGAAAUCAAGAUGUAGCGAUACUUCCCAAAUAGUUAUCCAAUAAAUGAUUCAAUAUUAAUGAACUGCAUAAGAAAUUUUAUCUACCAUUACCUUCAUCACCCAGCUUCUCUUAGGGGCCUUUCCUCACUACCCUCAUUUGAAAGCAAUAGUUUCUGCUGUGUUCCUGCAGGUAGUAACAGAGUCAGAAGGUGUCUUCCCAUCUGCAGGAGCAAGCACAGACCCAGGAGUGAGUGGAUUACGAUUAUGGCUGGCAGGAAAGAGAAGCCUCCCUCAUGACAGUUUGUGAGUGAAACAAAAGAUAAACCAAAGAAGAAUGCAGUUCUGAGUUUCCUCGAGUCAACAGGAACUUUGCCAGCACUUGAUUUUUUAAAAUCUGGUUUCCUCAGCUAAAGUAGUCAUGCAAAAUUAGCAACCUCAAGAAGGAAAGUGCAAGUGUGUGUUAUUCCUGUUAUACCCAAAAGUGGGUUACAUUUCCCAUCAGUUCCCUCAAGCAAAACCUGCACACCUGGGAAGCACUGUAAUUUUUCUUCUUGUCUCCCUUUGAUGAGACUUCAGAAACAAGUGAGCGGCCGUGUUUGCUGCAAAUUUUCUUUUGAAUGCUGUCAUGGCUCUUACCUGUGGGCUGUCAGCCCAGUCACCUCAUCUUCCUGCAGAGAAAGGAAGGAGAGCAUUACUCUUCCCUUUCCCCUCCAUGUGGUAAGAGGCCACAGGGAGCCACUGAGUUGUGUCACUCUGGAUUGCUAUGACCAGAUUUACCAGUCAGGAGCUUUUCUUACUGGAAAGCAAAAUAUUGUGACUGCUCGUCUGCCUGUGCAUGGCUGUGUGAGGGAAAUGGGAUGGGCGGAACAGCUCCUGCCCAGCACAGUGCCACGCGUGAUUCCCCCUGCAGAAUGAAGAAAAUUGAGAGUCAUCAAAGCACAGUUUCCAAACAGACUUGGCUCUGGGGGAGCAUGGAGCAUAAGCAUGACUGAGAGCAUCUGCCAGUGGCAACCACCUCAAACUGCUGCGUGGCCCCAGGUCCCACCUGCUGCGUUGUCUGGAAUGAAAUGGAGUAUUUCAUGAAAUGAAGGGAAAAGUGAGUGAGUCUUCAGUUAAUGGACUUCAAUAAUACAAACUAGGGUGCUGCAAAGAGGAAUGGAAUAUUUUGUCUCCAUUGACAGAUGGAAGAUACGGGAUCCACCAGAGAAAACUUGAGAAUUGCCAUCACCUGUGCUCUUAAAAGGAGGUAAAACACUUUAAGUGAAGUCAAGAUGUAGUGAAAAAAGGAUUUGAUGUCCCUCUAAGAUCCUUCCCAAGAGACCCCCUCUGUGGCUCUUUAAAUGUGUGAUUAUCCGCAUCUGCCAGUGGACAGGGCAGUCACAGGGGAGAGAAGUUGCAUUCCUCAAACUAAUGAUUCAUUGAAAAUCAGCAACCUACUCCAGGAACAACCCACUAUCAAUGUUUUGCCUCAAACUUAGUCACAAAGCCAAGAGGAGUUAAAAAAGGAACAAUUGUGGCACAACAAUGAAACUCUUUCAAUCAUUAAACCCUACCAAUAAAUACUGGCGAGUGCUGGAACAAAUCUUUGUAUUUCUAGAAAUUAUUCUAGCUGUGGAAAAUAUAAACUGUGUCUUCCCUGCAGACACAGCCAAAACUAAUCAAAAUACUCCUCAUAACACAAAGGAAAUACCUCUGGGCUGCGAUAAGCACUGUGAAUGUGGCUCUUUUACGUCUCCACUAGCUAAUAACAAUAAGAUGGGCUGGUGGCACUGUUUUCAGCACGGAGAUUAAUAGCCAGGGAGAAACCGAGAAGGAGAAAGUACACUUUCAGUUUUCUUUCCGAUGGCUAAUUAAAAAGCCCAUAUCUGAAGGGAAAUGCUGUGGAAAUGAGGGCUAUUUGGAUGUGCCUUCCCCCAUCUACUAUCACUCUGCUUUGUGAGGAAUGCUUUAUUAACGCUAAUCUCAUCUCUGUGCUUUGACAGAAGUUACAGUUUCCUUCCUUUGCAGCCGCUAAGGCUCAGUUCUAUUACAGGGUUUGUUUAAUGGGAGCUUUAUUAUUUUACUAAAUUACCUCAUCUUCUGGGAACAAACUUAACCUUGAACUACGAUGCCAAAUGUCUUUUUAAUGAUGCAAGUCUGUUUGGAAAUGGUGCUUUGAUGACUCUCAAUUUUCUUCAUUCUGAAUGUUUAAUAUGUGGAAUAUAGACAAAAAAGUAAUUCUUUUCUGCCGACCUUCCUGGUCCACUAUUUAAAAUCAAUUUGCUGCAAUUAUUACGGUUAAGACUAGUGGGAACAAACAUUCUUUAUGGUCAGGCACCAGAGAGGAGCCCCUCGCAUCACUAGGGAACCCAUCUUCAGUAAAUUGGAAAAUUAUACACCACUGAUGCUAAAAUACCCCAUAUUGAAAUGUUUAAAUUCUAAGAUAACAUAAAUAUCACUCCCAUGUGCAUCUUGGGAUGCAGCCUUCUUGUGUUGCUUUGAGACUCAAAGAGAAAUUCUGAGUAACAAUGAGAAGCUACCAUUAACCCAGGUGAGACAGUGAUUUGAUCCAGAGUUUGUAGUCAGGCCAAAUGAAUGUGAUUUUCUAGUACAAUCUGUAGGAUGGUGGAUCUCUUGGAUCCCAGGGAAGCAAGGCUUUUGCUCACAGGGCAA